UUUUAUAGUCAGUUUUCUAGCCAUUUUUUGAGUUCCGUGUUUUAUGAUCGUUAUAGUUUGAAAUUAAACAUUGAAUCAUUGAGAGGCGAUCGGACGGACGAAAUUGACCCAAAAUUGGCUCGAAAACAUUAAUUAUAGCAAUAACAAAAAAAUAAAUUAAAGAAAAAAGCAAAAAAAAUUAAAUUUGGAUUUCAAAUAAAAAAUAUACGACCACGUAUGGGUGGGCUGCAUGUCAUGUAUCGAGUCU
rnacentral:lncRNA from 1 species